rnacentral:snRNA from 1 species
AUCGCUUCUCGGCCUUUUGGCUAAGAUCAAGUGUAGUAUCUGUUAUUUAAGGUAUAUAUUUUCCCCUAACUUUUUGUCAACUAGU